UACGGAGGGUGCAAGCGUUAUCCGGAUUCACUGGGUUUAAAGGGUGCGUAGGAGGGUGAGUAAGUCAGUGGUGAAAUCUUCGAGCUUAACUCGGAAACUGCCGUUGAUACUACUUGUCUUGAAUACCGUGGAGGUGAGCGGAAUAUGUCAUGUAGCGGUGAAAUGCUUAGAUAUGACAUAGAACACCAAUUGCGAAGGCAGCUGGCUACACAAAUAUUGACACUCAGGCACGAAAGCGUGGGGAUCAAACAGG
rnacentral:rRNA from 1 species